AGCAAGUGCGAUUGAUAGUAAGGGAAUUGAUUUGAUUCGGAAUCUUCCCUUCUUCAGGUACUUAACACUCUCUUUGAUUGGUCAAUGUGCUAUGCAAAGUUGUUCGAUAUAUGGAUUAAAUUUGCUUUCAUACAUGUCUGCAUCAUACUUAAUGUUAUUCCCUUCUGAGUUAGCAAGAUUUAGAUGAUAAUUCACAACAACGUCAAUGUUAGGUUUGAUUCACCACCAGUCCUCUUUAGGUUACAAAGGUUUUUAAUUGAGCAUUCAACUCUGCUUUUGUCAGUAUAAAAAGUUCAUAGAGAUUUGGUCUCUUCUUUAUUAUCUGGGUGCAUUAUGCACUAUGCAUGGUACUAACUGUGAGUAUUGUUGCCAAUCAGUAUGCAUUGGUCUACUUUGGAUCUUAUUUUCUUACUUUAUACUUGCUUUGCUAUUUGUCAUGUAUGCACAUGAUUUGGAUUGAUCUACUUAGAAGCAUGAGUUUAUGAAAAUUGAUAUCUACUAGGAUUGUUCUGCUCCUGUCGUCACCUUUGACUAAGCUGUUGAGCCCAAGAACUGUGGCAGACUGGUGGCCCAGCUGUUCAACUUCUCAACACCGUUCAAUUUUGUCUUUGCUCGUCCUUGCGUCCACUCAGCAGAGAAGUAUCUAUACUGAAUUUCUGCUCUAGAUAACUUAUACUCAUAUAAUUUAUCUCUAAUACCCAGUCCAGAUCAUUAGUGCUAGAUUGACAUUUUUAAGCCGUAUUUGUGGGAAGUGCAUUGCAUUUGUAACUAAACUGGGCUUGACCAAUCUUGAGGUUUACCAUGAAUUUAUAUAAAAUGGUCUUAAAGCAAGGGACUGGGCAAUUACAAAUAGCUCAUAUAUUCAGGGUAUGUGCCCCUUAUGCUAUAUUUAUAGCAGGUUGUACUCAGCAUAAAUUGUGAGAUUUGAUCUUGUAAAUAAGGACCGAGAUAGUCUGGUCUUACCUACAUAUAUGAGUCAUUAUUGAGGACUGAGCAUCAAGCGUGAUUCCGUUUCCAGUCCAUGUAGAUUAGCCAUUUGACGACUUAGCUAGAAACUUUAUAGGUUUUUAGUAUAUAUAUCCUCAGUAAUGUUGUCAUGAGUUGUGACACGAACUAAUGGAAAAUAACCAUGUAGUAUCUUAUUUUUUAUAUGAGUAAAGUAUGUACAAUAAAUUUGCAAAAAUAGUCCAUCAACUAGCUGAAUAAAGAAACACUCUACGGGAAAGGCGAACAAGCACACUAAAGCACACAAGUCGUAGUAACUCUAAAGUAUUUUUAUAACUGCAUUUUAGUGGACUAUAUGAUGAUUUGCUUUUUCUGAACCUUGAUAACAUUAUCCUGGAUUUGUGACAACAGUCUAUAGAUUUUCCCUUUAUUUUUUAUCAUCAUGAAGACCAAAUCUACAGAAUUCAACCAGUUGUGAAUUCAUCAAGUACGAGACCUCUGUCUAAUAUCAUUUCUGCGGGUUGAACAUGAAAGGAUGCCGGCAGAUUGCUUUUCCAAAACCGAUGUUACAUGUCUCGAAACUUUCCCCAUUUUUGUUUUCAGAAGACAAAGGACAUCUCGGAUUAGUUAGCUUCUUUUUACAGUUACUACUCAUUGAACUAUAUGCAGUUUUCAGCUAGACCUCUUUUUUUACAGUUCCUGUCCAUUGAACUAUAUGCAGUGUCAACGAACAGCGUGAGAUGAGAUAGCUGCAAAGGUGGGGCCAAAUAAUCCUAUGGUAGCAGCAAUAGUCAGCCCAUGAUAAAUCUCUGGUAAGUGCUCCUUUCUCUUUACCUCUUUACUCCCAUGUCACAGGUCUGACGACACACCAGAAAUUGCCAUGUAGUUGCAUGGCUGUCAAAGAGUCUAAGCAUGUGAAAGUUGGGUUACCUCUAUAUUUGUAAGAAUUGGAACUUGGUACGGUUUUGCAAAAUAAGAUGGUAGCUCACAUUUUCUGGAUGACCCAAUGCUUCUUUGGUGAAAUUUGAUCAGCCUUACAUAUACAUUUGAAAUAUUAUGCUGUAUACAGUUCAUCAGGCACUGGAAUUUGCCGGACAUUAAUGUUUCUGUUUUUUAUCUGUUUCUUAUUUUCCGAGUCACAUCUCUGCAAUGUUUCCAAUGAGGCAAGGACUACUAUUUUCCUCCUUGCAUGCCAAUUAUUUGAGAGACAAAUAAAUAUUGUUGUUGGCCUAUGAAUUAUCACAUUAUUCCCCUGAUUCUUUUUAGAUCAUUUUGUUUUAGAGUUUUUGUUUCUUGAAACCUCAAAAUAGUUACUAGCAUCUUCUCCAUGUUGCAUCAUUUUAUAGUGACAAUCAGGAGAUAUAGCUGAUCCUUCAUUUAUCUUGGAACCUUAUCCAAACAUUUGAAAAUGAAACUAAAGCUAUGUACAGAGAGAAUGUGUAGGCUCUCUUCCUGGGCAUGAACUCCGGUAUGCCUAUUACGAGUGAGACCACUUCACUUUGCUUCCAAUAUAGUAGAUGGCGGAAGUGGUGCUCUUAUAUACAACCGCUAGAGAAGUAUAUGUAGCAUUUCCUCUGUAGAAAGGAAUGCUAUUUUAGCUGGUUGUGAGGUUUGAACCUUUCAUUUCCGAAGAGAACCGAUGAUCUUCCUUCGCAAGUUUAUUUUUACCUAUGUAUUAUUGUCAUGCUCCCAUUGUUUGGGUGAUUUACCUAGGCUAUGCACACACAUAUAAUAUUGCCAUGUUCCCCUUAUUCAUCACCGAACAUUGCUGCCAAAUUGAUGUUUUUGUUGCUCUAUACAUUGGUGUUAUAGACUGCCAUUUGUUUAGUCGAACAAUUUGCCAAACUGAUUUUCCAUUACUCCAUGUACUGGUGUUACAGACUGCUAUUUGUUUUGUCCAUCUUAGUAAUUCAUUUGGUUUACAUUCUCAUGAUAUAGAUAUACACGUGCCCCUUUCCUAUUUUAGCUAUCAUUUGCCAACCUCCAUUAUAUGACUAUGCACAUGUGUUCCUAUAUACAAAUGUGAUUAAACGACAUGUUACCUCAAUGCCAUUUGUGAAGAACAAAUAUGUGGCUCAGGAGGGCCUGGUUGACGUAUGCGGUCAUCAGGAGUGGCCACAUUGUUUGGUCCUCAACAAUUUUGAAUGAAGACUCGUGGACUUUACCAUUGCGAAAUCAUGUGAGCAGAGGUGUUCCAGGAUUCUUUGGAAAGACAUGUAUACAUGCCAUGUGUCCCGCUAUCAUUUUUUGUCUUUGUGAGUUGUUGAAAAGAUCUUAAGAUGUUUGAUUGGUCAUUUCAACUCAGGUGAAGUUGUUAGGAUGAUUAGGUAGAAGCUUAUGCCAUCUCAAAAAAAAAAAGGUAGAAGCUUAUGCAAAAUCUACUGUGAUGGAUUCAGAUAGAUUUUGGAGUGGUGAAACCUUUUGAAGUCACAGCUAACAUGGCUCUAAGUUACUCCAAUAAGAUAACGAAAUAUGCAUGCUUAAAUAUAUGUAUUCAAAGAUAA
rnacentral:lncRNA from 1 species